AGUGAACGCUGGCGGUAGGCCUAACACAUGCAAGUCGAACGGCAGCACAGUAAGGGCUUGCUCUUACGGGUGGCGAGUGGCGGACGGGUGAGGAAUACAUCGGAAUCUACUUUUUCGUGGGGGAUAACGUAGGGAAACUUACGCUAAUACCGCAUACGACCUACGGGUGAAAGCAGGGGAUCUUCGGACCUUGCGCGAUUGAAUGAGCCGAUGUCGGAUUAGCUAGUUGGCGGGGUAAAGGCCCACCAAGGCGACGAUCCGUAGCUGGUCUGAGAGUAUGAUCAGCCACACUGGAACUGAGACACGGUCCAGACUCCUACGGGAGGCAGCAGUGGGGAAUAUUGGACAAUGGGCGCAAGCCUGAUCCAGCCAUACCGCGUGGGUGAAGAAGGCCUUCGGGUUGUAAAGCCCUUUUGUUGGGAAAGAAAAGCAGCAGGUUAAUACCCCGCUGUUCUGACGGUACCCAAAGAAUAAGCACCGGCUAACUUCGUG
rnacentral:rRNA from 1 species